GCUUAACGCGAAGAACCUUACCAGGUCUUGACAUCCCAUUGACCACUAUGGAGACAUAGUUUUCCCUUCGGGGACAACGGUGACAGGUGGUGCAUGGUUGUCGUCAGCUCGUGUCGUGAGAUGUUGGGUUAAGUCCCGCAACGAGCGCAACCCUUGUUCUUAGUUGCCAUCAUUUAGUUGGGCACUCUAAGGAGACUGCCGGUGACAAACCGGAGGAAGGUGGGGAUGACGUCAAAUCAUCAUGCCCCUUAUGACCUGGGCUACACACGUGCUACAAUGGACGGUACAAACGGUUGCCAACCCGCGAGGGGGAGCUAAUCCGAUAAAACCGUUCUCAGUUCGGAUUGUAGGCUGCAACUCGCCUACAUGAAGCCGGAAUCGCUAGUAAUCGCGGAUCAGCAUGCCGCGGUGAAUACGUUCCCGGGUCUUGUACACACCG
rnacentral:rRNA from 1 species